rnacentral:ncRNA from 1 species
GCAGAGUAGGUGCCUGCGCGUCAAGUGCCGGUCGGACGGGGAGUUGCCGAUUGGACGAAGGGGGAGACCCCGCGGUGCAGGUGUUGCAUCCCGCUGC